rnacentral:ribozyme from 15 species
AACAUCCAAAUACAAUAUCACAAAGAUAAAUACAUAAGAUAAUAGUAGAAAACAAUUAACGAGACUGUUCGGCUGUGGUAGAGGCGAUAUUCUCUCCUUGACUGACUGGCUUAUCCUUUCUCUUCGAUUUCGACUUCUUCUUUUCUUUCUUCUUUUUCUUUUUCGGUUCAGAUUCUAUGGUAUUUUCAGUUUCUGGCAAAAUAUAUAUCGGUGGCAAUGGAGAAACUCCCUUUAAAGGGUGGAGAU